GACGCAGCACUGCGCGUGUGUGAAGAAGGCCUUCGGGUCGUAAACUACUGUCCUCGGAGAGAUGACUUUGAGAGUCACUGUUCUUGUGUGACCUUACCCUACCCCAAAGGAACGGCUAAUACGUGCCAGCAGCCGCGGUAAU
rnacentral:rRNA from 1 species